rnacentral:RNase_P_RNA from 3 species
GGAGUUGGCCAGGCAAUCGUCGCUUAUCGGGCAUUCGUGUGUUGAUAAGGGGAGGAAAGUCCGGGCUCCAUAGGGCAGGGUGCCAGGUAAUGCCUGGGCGGCGAGAGCCGACGACAAGUGCAGCAGAGAGCAGACCGCCUGUUGGUUAUUCGUAACCAAUCGGUAAGGGUGAAAGGGUGCGGUAAGAGCGCACCGCGCAGCUGGCAACAGUUUGUGGCAAGGUAAACUCCACCCGGAGCAAGACCAAAUAGGAUCCCGUAUGGCGUGGCCCACGUUGGGAUCGGGUGUGUUGCUUGAGCCAGUGAGUGAUUGCUGGCCUAGAUGAAUGAUUGCCCAAGACAGAACCCGGCUUAUCGGCCAACUCCGACU